GACGUAGGGUGCGAGCGUUAAUCGGAUUUACUGGGCGUAAAGCGUGCGCAGGCGGCCCGUUAAGACAGGUGUGAAAUCCCUGGGCUCAACCUAGGAAUUGCGCUUGUGACUGGCGGGCUCGAGUACGGUAGAGGGGGGUGGAAUUCCUGGUGUAGCAGUGAAAUGCGUAGAGAUCAGGAGGAACACCGAUGGCGAAGGCAGCCCCCUGGGCCUGUACUGACGCUCAUGCACGAAAGCGUGGGGAGCAAACAGG
rnacentral:rRNA from 1 species